rnacentral:rRNA from 1 species
UACGGGGGGUGCAAGCGUUAUCCGGAUUCACUGGGUUUAAAGGGUGCGUAGGUGGGUUGGUAAGUCAGUGGUGAAAUCCCCGAGCUUAACUUGGGAACUGCCAUUGAUACUAUCAAUCUUGAAUACUGUGGAGGUCAGCGGAAUAUGUCAUGUAGCGGUGAAAUGCUUAGAUAUGACAUAGAACACCAAUUGCGAAGGCAGCUGGCUACACAAUUAUUGACACUGAGGCACGAAAGCGUGGGGAUCAAACAGG